GAUGAUGAUGAUGAGUGAAAUCCAUGUAAAGCAGCAGGUGUCUGUUUGAUGUUGAUGGCCAGUGUUGUGAGGAUGACAUUAUACAACAUGUACUCCCAUUUGUAAAAGACAAUAUACAUCAUGAAGACUGGAGAUUUAGGGAUGCAUCUGUCAUGGCUUUCGGUUCUAUAUUAGAGGGACCAGAUGCAACAACUCUAAAACAACCAGUUGAUCAAGCUUUACCUAUGUUGAUAGAAAGUUUAAAAGAUCCAAGUAUAAUUGUUCGCGAUACUGGUGCAUGGACAAAUCUUGAAUGAAGCAGUGAUAAAUGAACAGUUUUUAAAUCCAUUAUUACAUGCCCUUGUGCAAGGAUUAGAAACAGAACCCAGAGUGGCUAGCAAUGUUUGUUGGGCAUUUUCCAGUUUAGCAGAAACUGCCUUUGAGAAUGCUGAACAUUACUGGAAGAUAGGUCAGAUCCUGCUACUUGCUGUUAUCAUCGUAUUUUGAACAAAUUGUACAUAAGCUUAUACAAGCCGCAGACAG